CGGCCGGGCAGCAGGUGCCUCCUCCGCCCCGCCGCGUCCCAUGAUGUGCCUGGAGAGCGACGGCGCGUCGGGCGGCGGCCCUGGCGGGCGCCUCCGCGUUGCGGCGGCCGGCGACGACGAGGACGAGGAGGACGGAGGCGGCGGGGAGCGCGGCUGCUGCGGGCGCGGCGGCGAGGUGCAGACCCUCUCCGGCGCCCUCCACGCGCCCGCCGGGGCCAAGAGCGCCGCCAAGGCGGCCGCGGCGCCCAGCCUGGGCAGAGCCCGCGUGGCCGCCGCCGGCAUCCUCAGCGUGGGCAACGUCCUCAACUACCUGGACAGGUACACGGUGGCAGGGGUCUUGUUGGACAUCCAGCAGCAUUUUGGAGUCAAAGACAGCGGAGCCGGUUUGUUGCAAACAGUUUUCAUCUGCAGCUUCAUGGUGGCAGCGCCGAUAUUUGGUUACCUUGGCGACCGUUUCAACCGAAAGAUUAUUCUCAGCUGUGGGAUCUUUUUCUGGUCAGCAAUCACUUUUUCCAGCUCCUUCAUCACUGAGCAGUAUUUCUGGCUGUUCGUCCUCUCUCGAGGCUUGGUUGGCAUCGGUGAAGCCAGCUACUCCACCAUCGCCCCCACCAUCAUUGGAGAUCUCUUCACCAAGAACACACGGACAUUGAUGCUCUCAGUCUUCUAUUUUGCAAUCCCCCUGGGCAGUGGUUUAGGGUAUAUCACCGGAUCAAGCGUCAAGCAAGUCGCUGGUGACUGGCACUGGGCCCUGCGGGUCUCUCCACUUUUAGGAAUGAUCACUGGGACUCUCAUCUUGAUAUUUGUUCCCGCUGCGAAAAGAGGCAACGCUGAACAGCUUGGGGCGCAGCUGAAAGCUCGGUCCUCGUGGCUGCGAGAUAUGAAGGCCCUGAUAAGAAAUCGCAGCUAUGUGUUCUCCUCCCUGGCUACCUCAGCUGUCUCCUUCGCUACGGGGGCUCUGGGUAUGUGGAUCCCCCUCUACCUCCACAGAGCACAGGUGGUCCAGAAAACAGCAGAGACCUGCACCUCGCAACCCUGUGGGACCAAGGACAGUUUGAUUUUUGGAGCCAUCACCUGCUUCACCGGUUUUCUGGGUGUGAUCACUGGGGCUGGGGCUACCAAGUGGUGCCGGUUGAAAACUCAGCGAGCAGACCCUCUUGUGUGCGCCGUGGGAAUGCUGGGCUCAGCCAUCUUCACCUGUCUAAUCUUUGUCGCAGCCAAGAGCAGCAUCGUGGGAGCCUAUGUCUGCAUUUUCAUUGGCGAAACUCUCCUGUUCUCCAACUGGGCCAUUACUGCUGACAUACUGAUGUAUGUGGUCAUCCCGACACGGCGGGCCACAGCUGUGGCUUUGCAGAGCUUCACGUCGCACCUUCUGGGAGAUGCUGGGAGUCCCUACCUGAUCGGAUUUAUCUCCGAUCUGAUACGCCAGAGCACAAAAGAGUCCCCGCUCUGGGAAUUCCUCAGCUUAGGCUACGCUCUCAUGUUGUGCCCUUUUGUCGUCGUCCUGGGAGGGAUGUUUUUCCUCGCUACAGCCCUCUUCUUCCUAAGCGAUAGAGCCAAAGCUGAACAACAUACCGAAACUGAUUUGGAUCACCUUCCUGUUGGCAACUCCAGUAACUCAGAAGAUGCUACCACAUGAUAGCCACAAGAACUUUUUAGGGGGUAAAUCAGCUCAUGAUGCCUCCAUCUUCUGUGAAAGUCUGAGGCGCUGCCUUCUCAGAUGAUGAAGGAGACCUUUUGUGAGCUCUGGCUGCCGCAAGGCAUCGAGAUGACCACCUGCGUGGAGGUCUCCCCCUCUCCAGUCUCUCUGCGGUUGGAGCCGGAGGAAAAUUCAGCUGCAGAACACAUUGGCUGUGGCUACAUGGAGGGCAUAGGUGGGCAUCCUUAACCUGCAUCAGCAAAGGUGGUCCUCACCCCUGCCCCGAGGGAUCCUUCUGGCCGGGAUUGUUUCCCCCGUGCCUCCAGUAGGUGUCACCUGGAAGACUGUGGUACAGCUGGCCUUUCAGCCAAUGGCGAUCCUUGCCUUGUUCCGUGGGGCAAGCUUCCAUCCUGUUUAACACCUGGAUGCCUUUGCCAGCAACUCCAUCUUCAGCCAGAGAUGUUAUCCCAGUUGGAGAAGCCAGCCUCGCCAAAGGAUUGAGCCCCGAUACGUGCUUAUUCAGUCUCCUAAGAUACUCUCUCCCUCUCAGCAGAAGGUGAAAGAAAUGGGACUAGAUGGACUUCUUUUUAAUUAAGGGUGUAUUUGCAUUAACAGUUUACUGCUGGAGCUAUCUUGGACCAGCAAGAGUUUUGUGUUAAAUUUCCAUUAGGAAAUCCUGGAGUAAAUUCAAAUAUAUUGGAGGGGGGGGCGGUGCUUGGGAGUGCGGCUGAUUCUCCAUGCAGAAAGCAUUGGCUGAAGGAGCCGUUUCUCAAAGGUGGCAUCCUCCAUAUUCUCCUGCUCAAUACAAAAGGUUAUGAAAAAGCUGCUACGUUUUCGCCAGCCUCGGGGGGGUAGAGGAGAGAGGGUUGGGAGCCUUAACUUCUUGUUGCUUUCGUUUGGGAUUUGCUGCUGAAGUUUACAGUACAGGAAUAAGAUCAUUGAUUGCUCUUUGAAAACUGUAGGCAUGAGCCACACACAUUCCAAUUUCAGUGAAGGGCAGCUGGCCCGAGACCCACUAGGAAUCCCUCGGUCACCAAACUUCAGUUUUCACCCUUUUCCUUGGCGGGUUUAGUAAGAGAGGAAGACCACAAGCAACAAAAUUCCAUCCUAAGGAAGAUCUCAGUAGGCUGCAUUUGACACCGUCGAACUCAGUAAAACGGUGAGGAUUAGUGGGUUAACGGUACCGAAUUCUAUCUAGCGGGGCUUUGGACGGAUUUUUCUUCAACCACCUCCAUGACAGGUUCUUACUGAGCUCCUGCUUUCUCGUAUUCAGGUUUCGUUCAGUCACCUUUGCUGUUCUCUGAGUGAGGGGUUAUGGAUCAGUCCUAGAACUCUUUAUGUGCGUGCAAAAGGUCCUGGGUUCAGCCGCCAGGUAGGAAAUCUCAGGAAGCAGGUACUGGAAGAGAACUUUCUCUGCCCAAGAUGUAGGAGAGCUGCUUCCAAUUAGAGUAGACAGUACGGAAUUAGACAGACCAACAAUCCGACUGUGUAAAAGACAUCUUCGUGCGUUCAUCUAAUUCACUUUGGCCACUUAUUCCCGGGAAGACUUCUAGACAGUGGGUCUCCUCAAGCUGCUAAUGUAAACACAGUAGUUAGAUCUGUGCGGCUAAUAAAGAUAAGAGAUCGGUGCCAAUCCCUUUUAGGUAACUGAAGCACCUUUUGGAGGUCCUUCCUGUUCAACUUUCAUUGGUGCUACCGUUGCAAAGGAAACUGCCAUCUAAAAGCGCACUAAGAAGUGCAAAAACUAGCAAAGGUAUACCACUACUACCUAGGGGGAAAAGUCAGAUGUGAAGACUUUAAAAACUGGGCAGAAAUGCAAUGAAGAGUUGGAUUAUCUGAACCUCAGCCACAGAAAAGCGUCAGAAGAAUGAACGAUCGUUGUAUAAACAUACAUAUCAAAGAGUAUCCCUGCAACCUGGGAAGAUAAAAUGUUUCCUCCCCUUCCCCAUCUUUUCCUCCACCCAUAAAUAUUAGAUUUAUCUCUUGCUCUGCGGUUUCCAUAAAGCGAGACUUAACAAUCACUUUGAUAACGUGAAGGAAUGGGGAGCAUUAAUGUAUGUUUUCUUGUUAUACAAGGAAGGACUCAAUCGUUUUCUGAUUUCUUUCAGAAGCAAGAAUAUAUAUAUAUUCAAAUGGCUAUUUUAUUUUUUAAGAGCAAUGAAAUGGAUUGUGAAUCUCAGAGUAUAAGAAAGAAAUAGUCCAGUAUAUAUAUACAUAUAUAUUAAAAAUAUAGACGUUUAUGUAAAUUAAGAAAUAAAAAAUAUUUAAACACAA